GAUGAAGAACGUAGCGAAAUGCGAUAAGUAAUGUGAAUUGCAGAAUUCAGUGAAUCAUCGAAUCUUUGAACGCACAUUGCGCCCGCCAGUAUUCUGGCGGGCAUGCCUGUCCGAGCGUCAUUUCAACCCUCGAACCCCUCCGGGGGGUCGGCGUUGGGGAUCGGGAACCCCUAAGACGGGAUCCCGGCCCCGAAAUACAGUGGCGGUCUCGCCGCAGCCUCUCCUGCGCAGUAGUUUGCACAACUCGCACCGGGAGCGCGGCGCGUCCACGUCCGUAAAACACCCAACUUCUGAAAUGUUGACCUCGGAUCAGGUAGGAAAACCCGCUGAACUUAAGCAUAUCAAUAAGCGGAGGA
rnacentral:misc_RNA from 1 species